GCAUGAUUCAAAAUCAGCAAACUCAAUGUUUUUAACAUUAAAAAUGUUUUAAAAUGUUAAAAACAUUAAGUUUGCCGAUCUUGAAUUAUGC